CACGUAGGGCGCAAGCGUUGUCCGGAAUUAUUGGGCGUAAAGAGCUCGUAGGCGGUCUGUUACGUCUGCUGUGAAAACCCUGGGCUUAACCCUGGGCUUGCAGUGGAUACGGGCAGACUAGAGGCAGGUAGGGGAGAACGGAAUUCCCGGUGUAGCGGUGAAAUGCGCAGAUAUCAGGAGGAACACCCGUGGCGAAAGCGGCUCUCUGGGACGGUACUGACGCUGAGACGCGAAAGCGUGGGGAGCAAACAGG
rnacentral:rRNA from 1 species